AUGAAGCUGACGGUGAAGACUCUCAAGGGCACCCACUUCGAGAUCCGGGUCCAGCACAAUGACACCAUUAUGGCUGUCAAGAAGAACAUUGAAGAGAUUCAAGGAAAGGAUAGUUAUCCGUGGGGUCAACAACUGCUGAUUCACAAUGGCAAGGUUUUGAAGGAUGAAAGCACAUUGGAUGAAAAUCAAGUUAGCGAAGAUGGAUUUCUAGUUGUCAUGCUUAGUAAGAGUAAAGCUUCUGCUUCCAGUGGAGCUUCAUCUGCCCAGCCUUCAAGCACUCCUGUUACCAGUCAAGCACCUCCAGUUGCUCAACCACAAGCUCCUCAGCCCCAGGUCCCAUCAACUACGACUUCUCAGCCUGAAAGACCAUCCGUGGAGACCCCUUCAAGUACAGUUGAUCUUGCAGCAUCGGAUUUACUGUCAGGAAGCAAUCUGGACACAAUGAUUAACCAGAUAAUGGAGAUGGGGGGUGGCAGUUGGGACAGAGAUAAGGUCCAAAGAGCUCUCCGUGCUGCUUAUAACAAUCCAGAACGUGCCAUUGACUAUCUGUACUCUGGUAUUCCAGUGACAGCCGAAGUUGCUGUUCCGGUGGUUGGUCAAGGGGCAAACACCACUGAUGCAGCUCCUGGAGAAACCGGCUUCUCUGGAAUCCCAAACACAGCACCAUUAGAUCUUUUCCCACAGGGGGCUUCCCAUGCUGGAGGUGCUGCUGGGGGUGGAUCGCUUGAUUUUCUUAGAAAUAACCAACAGUUUCAAGCGCUUCGGGAAAUGGUCCAUACAAAUCCACAAAUUUUACAGCCUAUGCUCCAGGAAUUGAGCAAGCAGAAUCCUCAACUUCUGAGGUUGAUUCAGGAGAACAAUGAUGAGUUCCUUCAGUUACUAAAUGAGACAUUUGAUGGCGGCGAUGGGGACUUUUUAGAUCAGGCUGACCAGGAUGAGAUGCCUCAUGCUAUCAGUGUAACACCAGAAGAGCAAGAGGCAAUUGGGAGGCUGGAAGCCAUGGGGUUUGAGAGAGCACGUGUCAUCGAAGCAUUCUUCGCCUGUGACAGGAAUGAGCAACUCGCUGCAAACUAUCUUCUUGAGCAUGCUGGUGACGAAGAAUAG
rnacentral:rRNA from 1 species